AUUGAACGCUGGCGGCAGGCCUAACACAUGCAAGUCGAACGAGUGGCGGACGGGUGAGUAAUGUCUGGGAAACUGCCUGAUGGAGGGGGAUAACUACUGGAAACGGUAGCUAAUACCGCAUACCAUCAGAUGGGCCCAGAUGGGAUUAGCUAGUUGGUGGGGUAAAGGCUCACCAAGGCGACGAUCCCUAGCUGGUCUGAGAGGAUGACCAGCCACACUGGACCUGGAACACGGUCCAGACUCCUACGGGAGGCAGCAGUGGGGAGUAUUGCACAAUGGGCGAAAGUCUGACCGAGCAACGCCGCGUGAGUGAAGAGGGUUUUCGGAUCGUAAAACUCUGUUGUUAGAGACGGAAUCUAAGAAGAAGCACCGGCUAACUCCGUGCCAGCAGCCGCGGUAAUAG
rnacentral:rRNA from 1 species